CACGUAGGGCGCAAGCGUUGUCCGGAAUUAUUGGGCGUAAAGAGCUCGUAGGCGGUCUGUUGCGUCCGCUGUGAAAACUCGGGGCUUAACCCCGAGCCUGCAGUGGAUACGGGCAGACUAGAGGUAGGUAGGGGAGAAUGGAAUUCCCGGUGUAGCGGUGAAAUGCGCAGAUAUCAGGAGGAACACCGGUGGCGAAGGCGGUUCUCUGGGCAUUCCCUGACGCUGAGGAGCGAAAGUGUGGGGAGCGAACAGG
rnacentral:rRNA from 1 species